UUGGAGGGCGAGUCUGGUGCCAGCAGCCGCGGUAAUUCCAGCUCCAAUAGCGUAUAUUAAAGUUGUUGCAGUUAAAAAGCUCGUAGUUGAAUUUCGAGACCGGCUUACUGGUCGUGCUAUUGUACGUACUGGUAUAAUCGGUUUCUCCUUUCUGACGAACUAUAAUGCCAUUAAUUUGGUGUUUUAGGGAAUCAGGACUGUUACUUUGAAAAAAUUAGAGUGUUUAAAGCAGGCUCACGCUUGAAUACAUUAGCAUGGAAUAACGGAAUAGGACGUUUGAUUCUAUUUUGUUGGUUUCUAGGAUCGACGUAAUGAUUAAUAGGGAUAGUUGGG
rnacentral:misc_RNA from 1 species